rnacentral:lncRNA from 1 species
CUUAGAGAAUUUUGGUUUAGUCCUCUCCCCAGUUUAAACUUGCUGUGCAAGCUGACUCAAAGAAAUCUGAUAAAAUGGAGAUUCUGUAAACAUGGUGACUCAAGCACACUGAGUAUACAGGAGCCACUGCGUAACAUUGAAUGUGUUUCCCAAACAUGGAAGGGGAAAGAAAGAGAAGAAGAGGCAGCCACACCUAAUGGAAAUGAACCAGAUGGUUAUCAAAAGCAUACAGCACUUUCAAGAGGCAGAAAAAGAGAAAAUACAGAAGAGGAUCAGUGGGAGGGAAGAUGGGUGCUAAAGCUGAGCAA